rnacentral:sRNA from 1 species
UAUUCUGGUAAGGUAUACACAGAUUGAA